rnacentral:rRNA from 1 species
UCCGUAGGCGGUGCGGAAAGUCGGAAGUGAAAUCUCUGGGCUUAACCCAGAGGCUGCUUCCGAAACUGCCGUGCUAGAAUGCGAGAGAGGCGAGUGGAAUUGCGGGUGUAGCGGUGAAAUGCGUAGAUAUCCGCAGGAACAUCCGAGGCGAAGGCGGCUCGCUGGAUCGCAACUGACGCUGAGGGACGAAAGCUAGGGGAGCAAACAGGAUUAGAUACCCUGGUAGUCCUAGCCCUAAACCAUCAGGACUUGGGGUUUGCCCUGUACGGGGCAAGUCCCGUAGCUAACGCGUUAAGUCCUGCGCCUGGGGAGUACGGUCGCAAGGCUGAA